rnacentral:rRNA from 1 species
GAUGAACGCUGGCGGCGUGCCUAAUACAUGCAAGUCGAGCGAACAGACGAGGAGCUUGCUCCUCUGACGUUAGCGGCGGACGGGUGAGUAACACGUGGAUAACCUACCUCUAAUACUGGGAUAACUUCGGGAAACCGGAGCUAAUACCGCAAAAUACUUCAAACGGCUGGAUUCAUUGGUAAAUCAGGUUUUUCUUGCUAUUAUUAGAUGAUCCCCGGCGAAUUAGCUAGUUGGUAAGGUAACGGCCUACCAAGGCAACGAUGCGUAGCCGAACUGAGAGGGUGAUCGGCCACACUGGAACUGAGACACGGUCCAGACUCCUACGGGAGGCAGCAGUAGGGAAUAUUCCGCAAUGGGCGAAAGCCUGACGGAGCAACGCCGCGUGAGUGAUGAAGGUCUUCGGAUCGUAAAGCUCUGUUAUUAGGGAAGAAAAAAUGUGUAAGUAACUAUGCACGUCUUGACGGUACCUAAUCAGAAAGCCACGGCUAACUACGUG